CUUGGAUUCGCGAAAUAAUGGGAGGACCCUGAAGGUCCCCAGGCCCCUGCUCCAGGGUAUAGCUUCUCUCUGGGGUCAGGACCACCAAGCCUCUGAGCCCAGAGCAGGUGCAGAUGGACACCCAGGAGCCUGCAUAUCCCCGCACUCUUCCCUGGUAGCAGCAGUUCUCCAAAGUGUGUCCCUCACUGACCACCCGAGUGCCAUCGGGCUGGUACCACACCAGGGUUGGG
rnacentral:misc_RNA from 1 species